rnacentral:rRNA from 1 species
GGAAGAAGCCGCAAGGUGACGGUACCUGCAGAAGAAGCGCCGGCUAACUACGUGCCAGCAGCCGCGGUAAUACGUAGGGCGCAAGCGUUAUCCGGAAUUAUUGGGCGUAAAGAGCUCGUAGGCGGUUUGUCGCGUCUGCCGUGAAAGUCCGGGGCUUAACUCCGGAUCUGCGGUGGGUACGGGCAGACUAGAGUGAUGUAGGGGAGACUGGAAUUCCUGGUGUAGCGGUGAAAUGCGCAGAUAUCAGGAGGAACACCGAUGGCGAAGGCAGGUCUCUGGGCAUUAACUGACGCUGAGGAGCGAAAGCAUGGGGAGCGAACAGGAUUAGAUACCCUGGUAGUCCAUGCCGUAAACGUUGGGCACUAGGUGUGGGGGACAUUCCACGUUUUCCGCGCCGUAGCUAACGCAUUAAGUGCCCCGCCUGGGGAGUACGGCCGCAAGGCUAAAACUCAAAGGAAUUGACGGGGGCCCGCACAAGCGGCGGAGCAUGCGGAUUAAUUCGAUGCAACGCGAAGAACCUUACCAAGGCUUGACAUGAACCGGUAACGCCUGGAAACAGGUGCCCCGCUUGCGGUCGGUUUACAGGUGGUGCAUGGUUGUCGUCAGCUCGUGUCGUGAGA